GUGUUUUCAUCAGCAACAUAUAUCCUAAUAUUGGAACAAUAGAGAGAAAUGAUUAUGGCCCCUCUGUGUAUAUGAUGAAACAUUCGUGAAGUGUUCCAUAUUAUU
rnacentral:snRNA from 1 species